rnacentral:rRNA from 1 species
GACGAACGCUGGCGGCGUGCUUAACACAUGCAAGUCGAGCGGAAAGGCCCUUCGGGGUACUCGAGCGGCGAACGGGUGAGUAACACGUGAGUAAUCUUCCCUUGGCUUUGGGAUAACUACCGGAAACGGUGGCUAAUACCGGAUACGACAACCGUCUGCAUGGGCUGGUUGUGGAAAGUUUUUUCGGCCAGGGAUGUGCGAGCGGCCUAUCAGCUUGUUGGUGGGGUAAUGGCCUACCAAGGCUUCGACGGGUAGCCGGCCUGAGAGGGUGACCGGCCACACUGGGACUGAGACACGGCCGAGACGACUACGGGAGGAAGGAGUGGGGAAUAUUGGAAAAUGGGCGGAAGCCUGAUCCAGCAACGCCGAGUGAGGGAUGACGGCCUUCGGGUUGUAAACCUCUUUAAGUACCGACGAAGCGCCGAUGAUGGUGGUGACGGUAGGUACAGAAGAAGCACCGGCCAACUACGUG